CCCUUCAUAAUAUUUCACACGUCUGCCAAAUUUUUUUCACUUUAUCAAAACAUGUUUUAUCUUUCUCAAUAGAACAGAAGGUUGAGCUAAAAACUCUAUUUCUCUUUCUAAUCAAGCCAAAAAUUUCCCAAACAAAAGCUCCAUUUCUUUUGUUGUUCCAGACAAACAAGCUUUCCGAAUGUGAUUGUGAAAUUUCCUCAAAGAACAAUCUUUCAAAUCUUACAAUAAAAUUUUGAUUAAGGUGAAACUUGAAGAUCUUCAUGAAAUUGAGGUGAAAUGAAGCUUAUGGCAAACAACAAUCUUACCUGAACAGUAAUCUCUUAGAGAAAUUUCAAUCAAGGUAUCUCUUAGUGUUGUUUGCUGUUUCGGAGCUAACCCACUUGCUAUUUUGGAGUGUUCUUCAAUUUGGGGAUUUUAAGAACCGUGAACCUUCUGCCAGCAAUUUUCUUGGGGUUGUAUAGGUAAGGUUUAAGAGCAGGGCCAACUGCAUUUCCCCAUCCAGCGGAACCCCUCUUUGCACCAUUUUUGCUUAGCACUUGUCAUGUUGGAAGAAACACCAUAUCAUUCAUCAGGCGUGGCCCUAGCAUGUUUUCCAUCUUUUAUUUAUGCUUAUUUCCAGAUAUUACCAUUCUUUCACAACUGUUUAUACUGUUCAAGAAUUUCCCCCUUGAUGCUUAAAUAGAAUUUAUUUCCUUUUUCGAGGUAAGUGCUAAUGUUACAGUAUAAAAGUUGGAAUUUCAUAUUGUCCUGGGCUCUAUUGGUUAUUAAGAUUUAUGAUUAAUCAUACUGCUACCAUAACUUUUUGUUCUUUGAUAGCAAUAGUAUCAAUAAUAUUCCCUUUGUUGCUUGUCCCAUAUUUUCUGGUACGACUUGGUUCUUUCGCUAAGGUGAUUGUAGUAUUUUUCUAUUGCUAUUGUUUCUUUUCCCUGAAUGUCAUGUCGUCUUGACUUUUGUAUGUACCUUUUCAUUUUGUUCUAACAUAUGAUACUUGAACUGAGGGUCUUUCUAAAAUAGCUUCUCUAUGUCUGCAAGGUAGUAAGGUAUGUGAAAACUCUAUGUUCUGCUGACCUGGUGGAUUUCAUUGAGUAUAUUGUUGUUGCACCUUCAGGCACUUCUUACUUUACUUUGACUGAUCAAAUUGUAACUGAUAAUAUUAAUUUGCAUCUGUCAUAUGUAGGUACAUUUUAUUCGAGGUUGUAUUCCCAAUUCCAUUUUUUAAAUACGAGGGUAAAGAAAGUAAAACUGAUUAAUCAAAUUUCUAGUGGUGAUCGGUGGAUCGUUCAGAUUCAUAAUGACAACCAUUUUUAUAGCAUUAUCCAAUCGAUACAAUACAUAUCUUGACUUUCGUGAGGUUGAAGUAAUUGAAUUUCUUUCUACAUUUUUGUGUGUUUUGUACAUUACUUUAGCCUCCAAAAAUAAAAUCUUCUGAUUAUAACAACAUUAUGAUUCUUUUUAAUACUUUUGAUCAUUUUAUUCAGAGGUUUAAAUAAUCGAUGACAAGUAUGCAGGGGGCUCUAAUAAUGGCAUCCGUUCUUCCAAUAUUAGUUGUCUUUCUUGGUGUUUGGAGAAUUAUCACAAGGUGGCCAUUGUGAAGGAUUAUAUUUUUUUAUUGCGCAGAAAAGAAUGUUUGAUUAUAGUUGUUUAAAAAUGUAGGUUCCUGUGUCUUCUUUCUAAUGCUCCACUGGUGUUGCUUGUCGAAAUUGGGCUAUAUGAGCAAGGAUUUCCACUUAUAAAAUGGUUUGGUUGAUGCUUAAUACUUCCUCAAUUUCAUUACACGACUCUCUUUCCUUUACAAUAUUUACUAGUUUGUUUUGGACAAAAAAUUAUACCUUUCUAUAUUUAGAAACUAUUUAUCUUUAAACUUUCCAUUUUACCUAAUAAUAUGCUCUAGUAGUUAUAAAAACAUUAAAAUAAGUCUUAACACCACAAGUUAUAAGGGUACUUUUGUAGGUGCAGAACUUUCCUUUUUCUUUCUUAAACUUCGUGUCUAAUCAAAUUUAGCCAUAUAAAAUGUAACUGAAGGAGUAUCUUAUUGUGACUGAUAUAGUGUAAGAGAUUGUUAACUUGAUAUUAUCAUAAAGUAUGCGAUAAUGUGGUCAUGAAUAGUUUGACUUUCAGAACUAUGAGGAUUGUCCAAAGAAGCUUCUAUAUCAUUUGAGAAAUCAUUCAUCCUAACACUGAAAAGAGAGAAUUGCGUUUUAUAAUACUUAAAGUAAUUCACUUUGGUAAAUCCAAUUUAUCACCUCUCGUGAUGAGCUAGUUACAACUGCCUAAAGUUUGACUUGAACAUAACGUUACUUACGUUAAGUAGUAUCUUUUUUUUAUUUCCUUUUUACGUUGGUUUACUAUUUUUUAGUUUAUCUCUGUUGAUUGAUGGCAGCUGGGAGGGUGUGUUGAAAUUGGACUUCCUGAGUUACAUCUGCUCGUAUUGUUGUCACAAGUAAGCCUUAUUCUUAGUAGUUAUUGUGUUCUGUAUUGAGAUUCAUGUAUUACGUACAACUACGAAUGUUUAUAAUCACUUAUACUACAACAACUGCAUCUCAUCCCAAAUGUUCGUAAUCUACUGAUACCUAGUAUAAAUAUCUUUUACCCUUUGAAUGGAAAAAACAUGAUUUGAUAGGUGAUUAAUGUAUGUUUUUGCAGUUCAUUCCUCCUAUGUGCACAUUAAAGCAACCCAUAUUUGAGCGAUUCAUUGUUUUGUUAUCUGUUGAAAUAAUAUGGGCAUUUGCAGCCCUUCUCACAGCAGCUCUUUAUUUUUCACUUUAUGCACCCGAUAUCUUAAACUCACUAGUCCUGUUGAUCGAACUUGUGUGUAGGAUCCACUAUAGGUGAAGCACUCCCUACCAAGAGUUUUUUCAUUUCUAGUACUCGAACUUGUGACUUUGAACUUGCGGCAGCUGUGUUUGAUCUACAUGAGUUAGAAAAAAAUCUGUGAUUCCUACCUUGAAUUCAGUAAAUGAACAGAGGAAUCACUCAACUUUGUGCAAAAAACAUGUGUAAAGAGUUAUUAUUUUUUACUUGCAAGUGUAUGUACUAAAAAAAGCACAACGUUUGGUUCCAAAUAAAGCUGAUGUCUGCAACUGGCUAAAUGCUAUCAAGGAUAAUGGGUAUGUUGCUCUACUCUAAAUCUCUAAUACAGACAAUGAAAAUAAUGUCUUUUCAAAAAAAUGUUAAUCUCUUUUCAAUUCUCACUUAAAUCUUUUUCUGAUUUUAUGGCGAGAGAGGAACCUGGAAAUGCAUCAAGAUCCAGUCCCUCUCUCCAUAUUAGUAAGAAAGAAGAAGAAGAAGAGCAUAAAAAGACAAAUUUACCCUUGCAAGUCUGUAAACUUCUUCUUAGGUUUAAAGGGAAGACACUGCAUUUUUAUCUAUGGACUACUUUAAGUCAAUCUCUAAUUAUCUAUAUUGUGUUGAUGCUAUAUUCUUCUGCUAGCUAGAUUAAAAUUUUUGUCUUAAAUUGCACUAGCAUCUGUACUAACUAAAAUUUUUAUUGAAGUGUCUUUCUGUCCAGAAUUCUAAUUUCUUCAGUAAAAUUUCUCACUUUAUUCUCUGCGAUCUCUAGUGUGUCUUGAGUAUUAAAAGUAUCUAUCUAGCUAGUUAUCUGUCUAUCUCUCUCUCUCACUUUGAUAUACACCUUUACUCCAUGCUCUUGGGGAUUAGUUUCAUGUUAAAAUUUGUUGAAAUGUCACCAUUUCAUCUAAAAUAUUAACCUAUUAAAGACAACACACUUUAUUUACUUAAUUAUAUUCUCAACCCCUUUCACGUGUGGGCCUGAUUCUUUUUUCAUGGGUGUAGCACGUGGCAAUUCUUUUUGAUAAGGUUGUUGGUGAGACUUGAUCCAAGGACUUCUCUCCUUUGAGGAAGCGUUGACCAAGACUUCUAGUCCUAAGGAGCAAAAAGAACACAUGAAAGCUUCCUGCUGUUAGAAAUAGGAAACAAAUUAAAAGCUCUCACUGCUCAGAAGAGUGUUAAUGUCAUCACAAAUAUUUCCUGUGAGUGCACUUCAAUUGGAUGCUUUGUUUUUCUCCUGUCUUGUUCAUGUAAACAAAGAAAUAUAGUUUUUUAAGAUGCUAAUUUACUUGUGAUUCUGACUCUUUCUUCAAUAAAACCUCAAAAUGUGACUCCUGCUUUGGAAACCAACACUGCUGAAGGAGAUGCUACUGAAUUGGAAACCAAAAGAAAGUCCUCCAGCAGUUAAAAGGAGCUUCAAAUGCCAAUGGCGAACAAAAUGGAGGUUCAACAAAUUUGCAAAAGAUUUCAAAGAUGACUAAGUUGUGGAUCUUCAACGGCCUUGUAGUGUAAUAGUCUGGUAAAGCUCCUCUGAAGUAUCAUUUGUUUUAGGUUGACCACAUUUGCUGUUCAGAAUGUGUUAAAGCAGUAGGUUGGAAGUUUACUUCAUUGUGCUUAUGAGUAGUGCUCUUUGUUGUCCAUGAGGAGUGUUUGGACCCCAAACGUUGUUUUGUAUGCAGAUAGUAUUCAUGUAUACUUUCUAAUUUGUGAUGUGUA